rnacentral:rRNA from 1 species
AUGCAAGUCGAACGAAGUCUUCGGACUUAGUGGCGCACGGGUGAGUAACAUGUGGGAAUCUGCCUGAAGGUUCGGAAUAACUACGGGAAACUGUAGCUAAUACCGGAUGUGUCUGUAAAGAGAAAGAUUUAUCGCCUUCAGAUGAGCCCGCACUAGAUUAGCUAGUUGGUGAGGUAACUGCUCCACCAAGGCUACGAUCUAUAGCUGAUUUGAGAGGAUGAUCAGCCACACUGGGACUGAGACACGGCCCAGACUCCUACGGGAGGCAGCAGUAGGGAAUAUUGGACAAUGGGGGAAACCCAGAUCCAGCAAUGCCGCGUGAGUGAAGAAGGCCUUCGGGUUGUAAAACUCUUUCAUCAAUGAUGAUAAUGUCAUUAGUUGAAGAAGAAGCUCCGGCUAACUUCGUGCCAGCAGCCGCGGUAAUACGAAGGGGGCUAGCGUUGUUCGGAAUCACUGGGCGUAAAGCGUAUGUAGGCGGAUCAAAAAGUUAGAUGUGAAAUCCCUGAGCUCAACUCAGGAACUGCAUUUAAAACUAGUGAUCUAGAAAUUGGUAAGGGUUAGUAGAAUUUCCAGUGUAGAGGUGAAAUUCGUAGAUAUUGGAAAGAAUACCAGUGGCGAAGGCGACUAACUAGGCCAUUUUUGACGCUGAGAUACGAAAGCGUGUGUAGCAAAA